UAGCCAAGUGGAUCAAGGCAGUGGAAUGUGA
rnacentral:tRNA from 28 species